rnacentral:tRNA from 1 species
GCGUCGGUGGUUCAGUGGUAUAAUACUCGCCUGCCACGCGGGUGACCCGGGUUCGAUUCCCGGCCGACGCG